rnacentral:rRNA from 1 species
CACGUAGGCACCAAGCGUUGUCCGGAUUUAUUGGGCGUAAAGAGCUCGUAGGCGGUUCGAUAAGUCGGACGUGAAAUCUCCACGCUCAACGUGGAGGGGCCGUUCAAUACUGUCGUGACUCGAGUCCGGUAGGGGAGUGUGGAAUUCCCGGUGUAGCGGUGAAAUGCGCAGAUAUCAGGAGGAACACCAGUGGCGAAGGCGGCGCUCUGGGCCGGAACUGACGCUGAGGAGCGAAAGCGUGGGUAGCAAACAGG